GAUGAACGCUGGCGGCGUGCCUAAUACAUGCAAGUCGAGCGAACAGACGAGGAGCUUGCUCCUCUGACGUUAGCGGCGGACGGGUGAGUAACACGUGGAUAACCUACCUAUAAGACUGGGAUAACUUCGGGAAACCGGAGCUAAUACCGGAUAAUAUAUUGAACCGCAUGGUUCAAUAGUGAAAGACGGUUUUGCUGUCACUUAUAGAUGGAUCCGCGCCGCAUUAGCUAGUUGGUAAGGUAACGGCUUACCAAGGCGACGAUGCGUAGCCGACCUGAGAGGGUGAUCGGCCACCCUGGAACUGAGACACGGUCCAGACUCCUACGGGAGGCAGCAGUAGGGAAUCUUCCGCAAUGGGCGAAAGCCUGACGGAGCAACGCCGCGUGAGUGAUGAAGGUCUUCGGAUCUUAAAACUCUGUUAUUAGGGAAGAACAAAUGUGUAAGUAACUAUGCACGUCUUGACGGUACCUAAUCAGAAAGCCACGGCUAACUACGUG
rnacentral:rRNA from 1 species